UGCCAGUCAAGAGUGGACCAAGCCAAGAGGAGGAAAUCUUGGACAAGGAUGUGGAGGGGGAUCCAGAGGCAGAGGACAACUCAGAGGCAAAGUGCAAACAAGAGAGGAGACCCCUGGGCAAGAUACUUCAAGCUGUUCAGCACGCUGGCCCCAGUCCACCUAAGCACAUGCUUAAUUUGCCUCAGGCUCUGCGGUAACACCAAGACAUGGAAUUUUGGGAUUGAUGACCCUGAGGCUUGGUACCAAGGAGGCAGAUUGAUCUCACAGUAGGAGGCAUUUUUUUGUGAUGAAAGCAGAAGAUUUUGUCACGCUGCAGGCUCUGAUCCUGUAAGGUGUGCCACACUGAGCCCCUCGACUACAGGCAUCCAGUUUGCGUGCUUCCAUAAUGCUGCACUUUUCCAGGUACGAUCUUCAGUCCUUCUGCCCUGCAUAUGGAUUCACUUGGGUCCCAGUUCAGCAAAAUAACCAAAAAUAUGUUGAAAUUUUGAUGUCUACAGAGGUUUCCUCGGGCAAUUAAUUGUGGUGGAAGAAAAUAACAGAAAUCAAG